AUUGAACGCUGGCGGAAUGCUUUACACAUGCAAGUCGAACGGCAGCACGGACUUCGGUCUGGUGGCGAGUGGCGAACGGGUGAGUAAUGUAUCGGAACGUGCCCAGUCGUGGGGGAUAACGUAGUGAAAAUUACGCUAAUACCGCAUACGAUCUAUGAAUGAAAGCGGGGGAUCGCAAGACCUCGCGCGAUUGGAGCGGCCGAUAUCAGAUUAGGUAGUUGGUGGGGUAAAGGCCCACCAAGCCAACGAUCUGUAGCUGGUCUGAGAGGACGACCAGCCACACUGGAGCUGAGACACGGUCCAGACUCCUACGGGAGGCAGCAGUGGGGAAUUUUGGACAAUGGGCGAAAGCCUGAUCCAGCCAUUCCGCGUGCAGGAUGAAGGCCCUCGGGUUGUAAACUGCUUUUGUACAGAACGAAAAGGUUUCUACUAAUACUAGGAGCUCAUGACGGUACUGUAAGAAUAAGCACCGGCUAACUACGUGCCAGCCGCCGCAGUAA
rnacentral:rRNA from 1 species